AAGUUUUUUAUUGUGUUUUCAAAACAUAAUUUGAAUAUAUUGUUCGUGACUUG
rnacentral:tRNA from 1 species